ensembl:processed_transcript BC065397 cDNA sequence BC065397
GCCCCCGAGCCUGUUGCGCAACUCGCGGACCUGGGGAGAGAGGAAAAAAGAAACACCAACGCCCCCCCCCCAAAAAAAAAAAACCAAAAGGAAAAGGAAUAAUGAAGGUUUUGAGGCAUACAUCUACAUGUGUGUCUGUGACAUGUGUUCAGAAGUCAGAGGCACUGGGUCCCCCGGAGCUGGAAUUACUGGCUGUUCUGAGACACCUGACAUGGAUGCUGGGAACCUAACUUGGGUCCUGCGGUAGAGCCAUCUCUCCAGCCACAACAGUGAAAGGUUUUCUUAAAGCAGUUCUCCAACUCAGACAAAUCAGAAGCAUCAGUAAAACCCGAGAUGCUUCAUCUACAUGUGUUUCUGUGCAUCCUCUAUGUGCCUCGUGCCCCCUGAGGUCAGAAGAGGACAUAUAGGUGUUCCAGUCUCAGAUCAGAAGCAAACUUUAGAAGUAUCAAGUAGAAGCUGGACAGAUGGCUCAGCAGAUCACUUCAAAGAACUCAAUGUACCAGGCCCUGUGUCUCCAUGACUUACAGUGACACAGCAACCCACUCUAUUCUGACCUUUCCUGUAGCUUUACUGAAUAAUCCUAUGGAAGAAGAAAGGGAAGCACAAAAGGCCAUGCAUUGAGUUCCCUUUGAAAAUGUGUAGCAACAUUUGGAGUCAUCUAAAACCCACUGAAGUGCCAACAUCUCAACGUCAAAUCCUGUGACAGAGCAGAUUUGAGAAAUAAUAUCCUUCAAAUAGAAGAUGAUUAUAUAUAUUAAAAGUGUUGAAUGCUCUGCAGUAAAAGCUUCAGCUAAGAGAUUGCCUGAAAUGAAAUAUCCUUUCGUCUGAUUUCAUCUAUCAACUCAAGUGUGCCCAGCACUGAGGAGGUUCCAGAGUCUCUCAUCCCCAACACUGGAGAAGUCCAAGGGGAGAUUUGCUGGGACCAUUGGUA